rnacentral:rRNA from 1 species
UACGGAGGGUGCAAGCGUUGUUCGGAAUCACUGGGCGUAAAGCGCGUGUAGGCGGCUAUCUAAGUCUGAUGUGAAAGCCCUGGGCUCAACUCAGGAAGUGCAUUGGAUACUGGAUAGCUGGAGUACCGGAGAGGAGGGUGGAAUUCCUGGUGUAGCGGUGAAAUGCGUAGAUAUCAGGAGGAACACCGGUGGCGAAGGCGUCCCUCUGGCCGGAUACUGACGCUGAGACGCGAAAGCGUGGGGAGCGAACGGG